rnacentral:lncRNA from 1 species
GGGGGGGGUCGUCCUCACUGCUGCCCUCAGGUGCUAAGAAUCCAGGAUAGCAGCCAACGGGCCCACGCAUGCGCACUGCGUUCCGCCGCGCUCACUGCUACCCUCGGCUGUCGAUAAAGUAGUACUGCACGCGUAAGGCGCACGCAUGCGCACUGGUUUUUCCAUGCUCACUGCUGCCCUCAGGUGUCGACACGCCAGUACUGCAGCCACGACUGCCCUCCCCCGCGUACAAAGAAUACUGCAGCCAGCCGGCGCGCACCGCCGAUCGCUGUGUUCGCCGUUACUCUCCGGUGCUCCGGGAACGGGGUAG